AGUGAACGCUGGCGGCGUGCCUAAUACAUGCAAGUCGAACGGAGAUUAAGUAGCUUGCUCUUUAUUCUUAGUGGCGCACGGGUGAGUAAUAUAUAGCUAACUUGCCCAUUACUAAGGGACAACAGUUGGAAACGACUGCUAAUACCUUAUACUCCGUAUCUAUAUAAGUAGAUACGGGAAAGUUUUUCGGUAAUGGAUAGGGCUAUAUCGUAUCAGCUAGUUGGUAAGGUAAUGGCUUACCAAGGCUAUGACGCGUAACUGGUCUGAGAGGAUGAUCAGUCACACUGGAACUGAGACACGGUCCAGACUCCUACGGGAGGCAGCAGUAGGGAAUAUUGCUCAAUGGGGGAAACCCUGAAGCAGCAACGCCGCGUGGAGGAUGACACUUUUCGGAGCGUAAACUCCUUUUCUUGGGAAAGAAUUAUGACGGUACCCAAGGAAUAAGCACCGGCUAACUCCGUG
rnacentral:rRNA from 1 species